rnacentral:tRNA from 2 species
GCCGACGUGGUGGAAUUGGUAGACACGCCACCUUGAGGGGGUGGUGAGCUUUGCUCGUGCCGGUUCAACUCCGGCCGCCGGUACCA